AAAAAAAUUUUAGCUUAAUUUAAAGCAUCUGAUUUGCGUUCAGAAGAUGUGAGUAUAUCUUGCAAAUUUUA
rnacentral:tRNA from 3 species